UACGUAGGGGGCUAGCGUUGUCCGGAAUCAUUGGGCGUAAAGAGCGUGUAGGCGGCCCGGUAAGUCCGCUGUGAAAGUCGGGGGCUCAACCCUCGGAUGCCGGUGGAUACUGUCGGGCUAGAGUACGGAAGAGGCGAGUGGAAUUCCUGGUGUAGCGGUGAAAUGCGCAGAUAUCAGGAGGAACACCAAUUGCGAAGGCAGCUCGCUGGGACGUAACUGACGCUGAGACGCGAAAGCGUGGGGAGCAAACAGG
rnacentral:rRNA from 1 species